GAAAAUAUGUGUUAAUCAACUAUGUUACCACUCAACAGUAGGCUAUUAAGUUUUGGGGGAGUCAAAAGUUACAUGAGGAUUUUCAAUUUGGAGAGAGGUGGGUUGGUGCUCCAACUUCCUUCCACUCCCUCGCACUGUUCAAGAGUCAACUGUAUUUGGUAUCUGUGUCAGAAGCCAUUCUGCAAAAUUUACCUUCCCACCAACGUACUUAGUUCUUCACAACUUUAGAAUCAACUAUCUUUAUGUUUUGCUACAAUACAUCCAGAUAUAUCAGAUCAUUCAAAAACUCCUGCCGUAUUUUAGGAAGAUAAAUGUAAUAGAAGUAUAAUCUCAGAUCAUAGCUUAUCAUAUGACUUAGUCUAUAUGUAAUACCUUUGCAGUGAAAACUCUUACAUAACUGUUAUUAUGUGCUGUAGGAUUUUCUGGAGCAGUGACCCCAUCCAGUUACAGCAAGUAAUUCUGAGCAAUCAGUAGCUUUCACUACCAACUUUUAGUAGUUGCUACAAAAAAACUGGUACUAGAUCCUUUGUCAUUAGGGAAAAUGAUACAUUGAUUUAUUUUUAUUAUUAAACAAUAGUAAGAUUUCCUCCUCAAAUACCCUUUUUAAAAAAAAGCAGAGCUAGGAACUGAGAAGAGGAAAUGAGGGAGCAAGUGAUAGUAAACACACAAAUGAUGCCUAACUCUCCCUACAGGUUUGAGAAAUAGACCAGGAUACAGCAGUCAUCUCUGAAAACUGGCAAGGAAAUUUUAAUCAGUGUGUUCAUAUACAUUUUGAAACCAUGUUGGAUUACUGUAAUAAAAUUUUACCUGGCAGGUGUUUUUAAAAGCUAAUCAGGAAACUAUCAUUUAAACCGGUAUUCUUAUAUUAAAAUUGAUACAAUUUUUAAGAGAAAUAGGCAAAAAGAUUAAGCAAGACUCAAAAUCCUAAUAUAUACUGAUACAAUACAAUGUAACUGAUGAUGUAAGAACUACAGAAUAUGUUUUGACAAUGGUAUAAUAUUAUGUAAUUAUAAUGACUGAAAGUUAAUUUUCUAGUUCUAAAAUAUUACAUAAAAAUUGAUAAUCAGUGCAUAUCCUUAAUAUGUCUUUGUUUUUUCACCCAGUAUCUGAAGCUUCCCCACUCCUAACUUUUUUCCGAGUAAAAACAAAACAAAACAAAAAAUGUCAACAUAGAAGGCAUUUUUACAAAAGUCAGUAGAAAAUCAAGAGGAUAGAAGAGAGGUAUUUUCAUUGUGUUACCUUUCUAUGCCAUUUGUGUAACUACUGUUAUUGUUUACCCUCUCAGGUAAAAAUAAAAACAAAUUUUUAAAGA